rnacentral:precursor_RNA from 1 species
GUUAAGAAAACAAAGGAUAGGUGCAGAGACUCAAUGGAAGCUGUUCUAACAAAUGGAAUUGACGUUGACUACGUUGCGUUGGUAGCUGGAAUCCCUCUAUCGAAAUUACAGAAAGGAUGACCCUAUAUGCGUAUAUAUACAUACUGACAUAUCAAACGAUUAAUCACAACUCGAAUCUGGAAUCCAUAUUAUUAACUAUAACUAUAUAUUAUAGUUAUUAUUAUAUAUAUUUUUUUAUAUUUUAAAAAAGAUAUAUUUUUAUAUAAAUUUAUAGAUUAAUUAAGAGUUAUUAUAAAUAUAUUCCAGUCGAAGUUGAAGGAAGAAUCGAAUAUUCAGUAUUCAGUUGAUCAAAUCAUUCAUUCCGGAGUCGGAUAGAUCUUUUGAAAAAAUGAUUAAUCGGACGAGAAUAAAGAGAGAGUCCUGUUCUACGUGUCAAUACCGACAGCAAUGAAAUUUAUAGGUAUUAGGAAAAUCCGUCGACUUUAGAAAUCGUGA